ensembl:snRNA U6 U6 spliceosomal RNA
GUGCUUACUUCAGCAGCACAUGUACUAAAAUUGGACCAACACAGAGAUGAUGAGCAUGGCCCCCGUCCAAGGAUGACAUGCAAAUGUGUGAAGUGUUCCCCCCAAAA